GAACGGGAAAUAUUUCAUUGAGACUUCGGUGGAUUUGAUCUAUUUCUAGUGGCGGACGGGUGAGUAACGCGUGGGUAACCUGCCUUAUACAGGGGGAUAACAGUCAGAAAUGGCUGCUAAUACCGCAUAAGCGCACAGAGCUGCAUGGCUCAGUGUGAAAAACUCCGGUGGUAUAAGAUGGACCCGCGUUGGAUUAGCUUGUUGGUGGGGUAACGGCCCACCAAGGCGACGAUCCAUAGCCGGCCUGAGAGGGUGAACGGCCACAUUGGGACUGAGACACGGCCCAGACUCCUACGGGAGGCAGCAGUGGGGAAUAUUGCACAAUGGGGGAAACCCUGAUGCAGCGACGCCGCGUGAAGGAAGAAGUAUCUCGGUAUGUAAACUUCUAUCAGCAGGGAAGAUAGUGACGGUACCUGACUAAGAAGCCCCGGCUAACUACGUGCCAGCAGCCGCGGUAAUACGUAGGGGGCAAGCGUUAUCCGGAUUUACUGGGUGUAAAGGGAGCGUAGACGGUGUGGCAAGUCUGAUGUGAAAGGCAUGGGCUCAACCUGUGGACUGCAUUGGAAACUGUCAUACUUGAGUGCCGGAGGGGUAAGCGGAAUUCCUAGUGUAGCGGUGAAAUGCGUAGAUAUUAGGAGGAACACCAGUGGCGAAGGCGGCUUACUGGACG
rnacentral:rRNA from 1 species